UUUAAUUUUUAUUUUUUCUCAAAUUUAAGCAUUGAUGCAUCUAGGGAAGAUGGAUCGUUUAGGCGGUUAGUUAACGAUGACCACCAACAUCCAAAUUGUAAGAUCAAGAAAAUUGAUGUGAAUGGAAAGGCACACCUGUGUUUAUUUGCGCUGAAAGACAUUAAAGAAGAAGAAGAAAUCACAUACGAUUAUGGGGGAGACGACUGCCCAUGGAGAACCCAACAGGUGACGCUGAUCCUUCUCUCCAGUCACAGACUCAGAUGGAUGAUGCUUCUGGUCAAACCAAGUCUCCUCAACAGGAGAACAGUAUUGCUGCUAAUAGCAGAGCAGCAGGUGACUCUGAUCCUUCUCUCCAGUCACAGACUCAGAUGGAUGAUGCUUCUGGUCAAACCAAGUUUCCUCAACAGGUACGUUCACUUAUCACUGGAAAUCUAAGUCUACUGUCUGUUUUUUCCAUGUUUUUGGAGCAUAUUUUGAUGCGUAUCUGCUGUAAAUUAGUUCCCUCAACAGUUUAUCAACAUGUGUCCUGUAGGUUAGUGGUAGUGGAAUAGUUAGGGCCAGUUUUGUCUAUCACAAGUAAUAUUUUCUUGGUUAAUUGUUGCUUUAAAAUUUACACUCACGACGUCCCCACAACACACUUUUGGUCGCUCAGUGUUGGAGUUGAGAUGGUCUGUGAAAUUAGAUGAAUCUGGUCCCCAUAAGGAACAAUAACUUUGUGUGUGAAAGGUCCCCACGAGGCCCGUUUUAUUCAAGAUGUGUGUGUGAGCUCAGACAGAGGAUGCAGGACAGGGAUAUAAUUUUUCUCUCUGAGCUCUGGUCAACUUUUUCAUUUUCAAAUUUCAAAUACAAUAGUAAUGUCAAAUAUUGUUUAUCCUUUCUGUUUACAGAUUGCGACCCAGCGCCAAAAUUAGAUUUUUGUGCCAAGACUGAGAUGGACUAAAAGUAUCAUAGCAAGUUUGUCACAACAAAGAGACUUGAUGUCUUUUUUUUUUCUUUUUCUUUUUUUGUAUUCCUCAGAUCAUUCUCAUCAUCAAUAAUAAUUUAUGUAAUAUUAGUAUUCUUAUGUGAUAUUGACUGCAAAAUAUCAGAGAAUACAAUUUAAUUUUACUUUAACACCAGAAUUAUGUGAUCAGAUAUAUAUUUUUUUGUCAGAUCAACUGUCCAUAACUUUUGCAUUGAGAACUUUAUUAUAACAUAGUAAGAAGCAGCAAAUCAUCACAUGUAACUUGCAAACUUGAGGGGGAAAAAAAUUUCAAUAGAUUAACAGAGACACAGUACAUUGGCUAUUAUUUUCAAAAUCAAAUGAUCAGUUAAUUGCAGCAGUUCUACCGAUUUCUUUUUUUUUUAGAUGAAAGACACAAAUCUUGAAGAUUCUGGUGAGCUCUUUGAUUCUACACCAGAGAGUUCAGGGCCCGGUUCCCCAAAACGUUCUUAUCGCGAAGUAGUUCUUAACCUAUUCCUUAACCUCUCUCUUAACGUUAUGGCAUGAUUCCCGACACAAUCGUACGCAAAUUAUAUCUUCUGUAAGUCACACUUUUGUAAGGUUGGUCUGGACCAUUCGUAAGUUCUCUCUUAGAGUUGUUUGAGCUCAAGACGCUAGUUGCGCCCACUGUGCAGCAAUCUUUAGAAAUCAGCGCAGCGCAGUACAAGUCAAACUAUAGUAUGUUGACAAUGUUGUGGCUCAACAAUGAUUUUAUGUUAUGGACAUUUUAAGACUAAUAAUAAAAUAUGUUCGCAAUGGAUACA
ensembl:lncRNA